rnacentral:tRNA from 1 species
GGCGGAUGUAGCCAAGUGGAUAAGGCAGUGGAUUGUGAAUCCCC